GUAUUAGUUAUGUUCUUGAAACUCAAAGGAUUUGGCGGUACUUUAGUCCUUUCAGAGGAACCUGCCCCUUGAUCGACAAUCCACGAUUUUGUUUACUUGUUCUUGUUUAUCAGUUUGUAUACCUCCGUCAUAAAGAGUGUCUUUUUAGGGUUAAUUCUCUUAAUUUUAUUAAUAAUAAGGAUGUCAGGUCAAGGUGCAGCUUAUGUACAAGUGUGUGGUGGGUUACAAUAAUUAUAUUUAUAUGAAUUUGGGGCUUGCGGUCCCACUGAAGGUGGAUUUGAGGGUAAGUUUAUUUACUUAGGUUUAUUGAUUAUUUGGCUCUAAAGUAUGUACACAUCGCCCG
rnacentral:rRNA from 1 species